rnacentral:rRNA from 1 species
CGUGAGAAUCUGCCUUCAGUUCGGGACAACCACUGGAAACGGUGGCUAAUACCCGAUGUGCGCAACGUGAAAGAUUUAUCGCCUGAAGAGGAGCUCGCGUCUGAUUAGCUAGUUGGUGGGGUAAAAGCUCACCAAGGCGACGAUCAGUAGCUGGUCUGAGAGGAUGAUCAGCCACACUGGGACUGAGACACGGCCCAGACUCCUACGGGAGGCAGCAGUGGGGAAUUUUCCGCAAUGGGCGAAAGCCUGACGGAGCAAGACCGCGUGAGGGAGGAAGGCUCUUGGGUUGUAAACCUCUUUUCUCAGGGAAGAACAAAAUGACGGUACCUGAGGAAUCAGCCUCGGCUAACUCCGUGCCAGCAGCCGCGGUAAUACGGAGGAGGCAAGCGUUAUCCGGAAUUAUUGGGCGUAAAGCGUCCGCAGGUGGCACUUCAAGUCUGUCGUCAAAGACUGGGGCUUAACCCUGGAAAGGCGGUGGAAACUGAAGCGCUAGAGUGUGGUAGGGGUAGAGGGAAUUCCCGGUGUAGCGGUGAAAUGCGUAGAGAUCGGGAAGAACAUCGGUGGCGAAAGCGCUCUACUGGACCACAACUGACACUCAGGGACGAAA